UCCCAAAGCCUUCCCCUAUCUGGUUCCCCACCACCACUCCCCUCCCCUCUCGGCAAACGCAGAUCCUGAUCGAAGCCCCCCCUCUCUCUCUAAACCCCGAGGUCGGCCAUGGCAUCCUCCCAGCCAUUCCCCUCUGGCGCCCUGCGGCCCCGCCCUGGUUUCAACCCCAACCCCUCCUUCUCGCCUCUUGGUCGACACGCUCUAGAACAUCCAGAUCUGCCGCCACUAACCGCCCACCACCGCCCCUCCUUUCUCCUCCCUCGCCUCCUGCUCGGCCCCUUUCCUACCGCCGCCAACAUCUCCCAUCCCGGCCAUCCCCCCUUCGCCUCGACCCCAUCCCUUAUCCACCCUGAUCACCAGCAAAGGCCCCACCUUUGGACUCAGCACCCCCCACCCCCCCCCGCCGCCCAGCAGCCGCCCCCUUGUCCCCACCGGCCUCGAUCAAGGUGCCUCCCCCUUCCGUUGCCCCUCCCCAACCUUCUGUCUGGGUCUCCGUUGUCGCCUUCCUCCCCAUCGGUGCCGAAACGAGGCGGCCCUCGCUUUUUUCGGUCCUGGCAUCAGUUCCAUUCCAUCGAGCAUGAGUAAGGCAAAGCCCAUCCCUCAGUUUUUCCUUUCUGGUUUUCAUAAGAGCAUGUGAGCAUGAUGCCCCCGAAGCCGACCCUAUGUCGAGUGGCAUAGGUGCUGUGCACAUUUCGGCGUUCUCAUCUCCGGCCGAAUCAAUGCAAGGUUUUUGAUGCUGGUAGUUCUGGUAGUUCGGUCUAUGCAAGUGUUCAACCACAAUCUCAACAUCCUGGUUAAAGAUUUACUAUAUUUGGAGAUGAUGAAGAUUGAUUGAAAUAUUUUGUUUAUAGUGGUGCUUUUUGUCAGUAGUGUGUGAUGAAGCAAACUAUGGAUAUUGGAUUUUGUAAUGCACAACUCUAUUAUAGCAACAUGUGGGUGCUUUGUUUUGAAUUUUGUAAUACAAACUCUAUGGUAGCAACAUGGUAUUUUGUUAUAGGUUUGGUCAUAAAUGAAUAUUUGGAUUGUUUUGACUCAA